rnacentral:rRNA from 1 species
GACGAACGCUGGCGGCGUGCUUAACACAUGCAAGUCUACGAGAAUAAGAUAGCAAUAUCUUUAGUAAAGUGGCGCACGGGUGAGUAACACGUAAGUAACCUACCUUUAGAUUUGGAAUAACCCCGAGAAAUCGGGGCUAAUACCGAAUGAUGCAGCGGCACCACAUGGUGAUGUUGUUAAAGUCUAUAUGACGUCUAAAGAUGGGCUUGCGUCUGAUUAGCUAGUUGGUGAGGUAACGGCCCACCAAGGCUACGAUCAGUAGCUGGUCUGAGAGGAUGAUCAGCCACACUGGAACUGAGACACGGUCCAGACUCCUACGGGAGGCAGCAGUGAGGAAUAUUGGGCAAUGCCCGGAAGGGUGACCCAGCAACGCCGCGUGGAGGAUGAAUGCCGUAAGGUUGUAAACUCCUGUUAGAGGGGAAGAAUAAUUCCGAUCGACUCGGAAAUUGACUGUACCCUCAGAGAAAGCCCCGGCUAACUACGUGCCAGCCGCCGCCGUAAUAC